CCAGACUCCUACGGGAGGCAGCAGUGGGGAAUAUUGCACAAUGGGGGAAACCCUGAUGCAGCAACGCCGCGUGAAGGAAGACGGUUUUCGGAUUGUAAACUUCUGUUCUUAGUGAAGAAUAAUGACGGUAGCUAAGGAGCAAGCCACGGCUAACUACGUGCCAGCAGCCGCGGUAAUACGUAGGUGGCAAGCGUUGUCCGGAAUUACUGGGUGUAAAGGGAGCGCAGGCGGGAAGCCAAGUCAGCCGUGAAAGCUACGGGCUUAACUUGUAGACUGCAGUUGAAACUGGUUUUCUUGAGUGAAGUAGAGGUUGGCGGAAUUCCGAGUGUAGCGGUGAAAUGCGUAGAUAUCUGGAGGAACAUCAGUGGCGAAGGCGACUAUCUGGCACAUAACUGACGCUGAGGAGCGAAAGCGUGGGUAGCAAACAGGAUUAGAUACCCUUGUAA
rnacentral:rRNA from 1 species